AUUGAACGCUGGCGGCAGGCCUAACACAUGCAAGUCGAACGGUAGCACAGAGAGCUUGCUCUCGGGUGACGAGUGGCGGACGGGUGAGUAAUGUCUGGGAAACUGCCCGAUGGAGGGGGACAACUACUGGAAACGGUAGCUAAUACCGCAUAACGUCGCAAGACCAAAGGGGGGGACCUUCAGGCCUCACACCAUCGGAUGUGCCCAGAUGGGAUUAGCUAGUAGGUGGGGUAAUGGCUCACCUAGGCGACGAUCCCUAGCUGGUCUGAGAGGAUGACCAGCCACACUGGAACUGAGACACGGUCCAGACUCCUACGGGAGGCAGCAGUGGGGAAUAUUGCACAAUGGGCGCAAGCCUGAUGCAGCCAUGCCGCGUGUAUGAAGAAGGCCUUCGGGUUGUAAAGUACUUUCAGCGGGGAGGAAGGCGGUGAAGUUAAUAGCUUCACCGAUUGACGUUACCCGCAGAAGAAGCACCGGCUAACUCCGUGCCAGCCGCCGCCGUAA
rnacentral:rRNA from 1 species